GAUCAAUGGAUAGACGUUCGUUUUGCGUGGUAACAUAGUCAUCUGUCACGUGUGGAAACCUCAGUAACACUGGAACGCAGUAUUCGAACCGGAUAAGUUCUGUGGCUCAAGCGUACAACUUGCAAUAGCUAUUUCUUAACUUUUAGUUUACACAGACAGAAUCUUAUUUUCAAAGUGAUCUCUAUGUCUGACAAAAAGGCUGUCAUCAAGAAUGCUGAUAUGUCUGAGGAAAUGCAGCAAGAUGCUGUGGACAUAGCAACCCAGGCACUGGAAAAAUACAACAUCGAGAAGGAUAUAGCUGCCUUUAUUAAGAAGGAGUUUGACAAGAAAUACAAUCCAACUUGGCAUUGUAUAGUUGGACGUAAUUUUGGAAGUUAUGUUACUCAUGAGACAAAGCAUUUUAUCUAUUUCUAUUUAGGCCAGGUUGCCAUUUUAUUGUUUAAAUCUGGCUGAGAAGCUUUGUAUAAACAUUCCUUUGCUUAGUUGUAAAUGUAUACUUAAGUAGCAGUGAAAUUAUGACUUUAUUGCUGUUACCAGGCCAAGUUGUGCCAUGUACAUGUAUCUACUUGUAAAGUAUAUGAUUUUUUUGUCGGUGAUCCAAGCUGUGUCAUUGAUUAAUAAUUUGUGAUUUAAGUGUACAUGUUUGAGGAACAGAAUUUAAUUUUAUUACAUCAGUGUCUUUGUUUUACUUCUGGUGGACUAAAACAUUUUAUUUUAUAUAGUGAUAAAAUCGUAUAUAACUUAUGUGGUUUCUCAAAACUGAUAUAAUGAAGUAAUGAUACCAGAAUGUUCUAUUACUGAAAAAAAAUGUGAUAGGUCUUGCUCCCUUCAAUUUUAUUAUUUGACUGUACCUGUGUUCACUUGCUAAUUUAAUGGAAGCAUUAAAAAUUACAAACUC